rnacentral:rRNA from 1 species
UACGUAGGGUGCAAGCGUUGUCCGGAAUUAUUGGGCGUAAAGAGCUUGUAGGCGGUUUGUCGCGUCUGCCGUGAAAGUCCGGGGCUCAACUCCGGAUCUGCGGUGGGUACGGGCAGACUAGAGUGAUGUAGGGGAGACUGGAAUUCCUGGUGUAGCGGUGAAAUGCGCAGAUAUCAGGAGGAACACCGAUGGCGAAGGCAGGUCUCUGGGCAUUAACUGACGCUGAGGGAAGCGGAAAGCAUAGGGAGG